AGAGUUUGAUACUGGCUCAGAUUGAACGCUGGCGGCAUGCCUUACACAUGCAAGUCGAACGGCAGCACGGACUUCGGUCUGGUGGCGAGUGGCGAACGGGUGAGUAAUAUAUCGGAACAUACCCUAGAGUGGGGGAUAACGUAGCGAAAGUUACGCUAAUACCGCAUACGAACUAAGGUUGAAAGUGGGGGAUCGCAAGACCUCAUGCUCAUGGAGUGGCCGAUAUCUGAUUAGCUAGUUGGUGAGGUAAAGGCUCACCAAGGCGACGAUCAGUAGCUGGUUUGAGAGAACGACCAGCCACACUGGAACUGAGACACGGUCCAGACUCCUACGGGAGGCAGCAGUGGGGAAUUUUGGACAAUGGGCGCAAGCCUGAUCCAGCAAUGCCGCGUGAGUGAAGAAGGCCUUCGGGUUGUAAAGCUCUUUUGUCAGGGAAGAAACGGUGAGUCCUAAUACGGCUUGCUAAUGACGGUACCUGAAGAAUAAGCACCGGCUAACUACGUGCCAGCAGCCGCGGUAAUACGUAGGGUGCAAGCGUUAAUCGGAAUUACUGGGCGUAAAGCGUGCGCAGGCGGUUAUAUAAGUCAGAUGUGAAAUCCCCGGGCUCAACCUGGGAACUGCAUUUGAGACUGUAUGGCUAGAGUGUGUCAGAGGGGGGUAGAAUUCCACGUGUAGCAGUGAAAUGCGUAGAUAUGUGGAGGAAUACCGAUGGCGAAGGCAGCCCCCUGGGAUAACACUGACGCUCAUGCACGAAAGCGUGGGGAGCAAACAGGAUUAGAUACCCUGGUAGUCCACGCCCUAAACGAUGUCUACUAGUUGUCGGGACUUAAUUGUCUUGGUAACGCAGCUAACGCGUGAAGUAGACCGCCUGGGGAGUACGGUCGCAAGAUUAAAACUCAAAGGAAUUGACGGGGACCCGCACAAGCGGUGGAUGAUGUGGAUUAAUUCGAUGCAACGCGAAAAACCUUACCUACCCUUGACAUGGUUGGAAUCCCGAAGAGAUUUGGGAGUGCUCGCAAGAGAAACCAAUACACAGGUGCUGCAUGGCUGUCGUCAGCUCGUGUCGUGAGAUGUUGGGUUAAGUCCCGCAACGAGCG
rnacentral:rRNA from 1 species